rnacentral:rRNA from 1 species
UACGUAGGGACCGAGCGUUGUCCGGAAUUACUGGGCGUAAAGAGCUCGUAGGUGGUUUGUCGCGUUGUCCGUGAAAACUCACAACUCAAUUGUGGGCGUGCGGGCGAUACGGGCAGACUGGAGUACUGCAGGGGAGACUGGAAUUCCUGGUGUAGCGGUGGAAUGCGCAGAUAUCAGGAGGAACACCGGUGGCGAAGGCGGGUCUCUGGGCAGUAACUGACGCUGAGGAGCGAAAGCGUGGGGAGCGAACAGG